rnacentral:rRNA from 1 species
CCUACGGGUGGCAGCAGUGAGGAAUAUUGGUCAAUGGACGAGAGUCUGAACCAGCCAAGUAGCGUGAAGGAUGACUGCCCUAUGGGUUGUAAACUUCUUUUAUAUGGGAAUAAAAUGUGCCACGUGUGGGAUUUUGUAUGUACCAUAUGAAUAAGGAUCGGCUAACUCCGUGCCAGCAGCCGCGGUAAUACGGAGGAGCCGAGCGUUAUCCGGAUUUAUUGUGUUUAAAGGGAGCGUAGAUGGCUUGUUAAGUCAGUUGUGAAAGUUUGCGGCUCAACCGUAAAAUUUCAGUUGAAACUGGCAGUCUUGAGUACAGUCGAGGUGGGCGGAUUUCGUGGUGUCGCGG